rnacentral:rRNA from 1 species
AUUGAACGCUGGCGGCAGGCUUAACACAUGCAAGUCGAGCGGGGGAAGGUAGCUUGCUACCGGACCUAGCGGCGGACGGGUGAGUAAUGCUUAGGAAUCUGCCUAUUAGUGGGGGACAACAUCUCGAAAGGGAUGCUAAUACCGCAUACGUCCUACGGGGGAAAGCAGGGGAUCACUUGUGACCUUGCGCUAAUAGAUGAGCCUAAGUCGGAUUAGCUAGUUGGUGGGGUAAAGGCCUACCAAGGCGACGAUCUGUAGCGGGGCUGAGAGGAUGAUCCGGCACACUGGGACUGAGACACGGCCCAGACUCCUACGGGAGGCAGAGGGGGGGAAUAUUGGACAAUGGGGGGAACCCUGAUCCAGCCAUGCCGCGUGUGUGAAGAAGGCCUUAUGGUUGUAAAGCACUUUAAGCGAGGAGGAGGCUCUUUUGGUUAAUACCCAGAAUGAGUGGACGUUACUCGCAGAAUAAGCACCGGCUAACUCUGUGCCAGCCGCCGCGGUAACAC